ensembl:lncRNA
AUGGUUAUUACAGAGUCUUGUUCUUCUGAUAAGAGGGAGACAAAUUACUCUUCAUGCACAAAAAAUUACUGUUACGUUUGCAAGAAACCUCAAACUAAAAUUUCCCGUCACUUUAAAAAGCAUGAAAAAGAAGAGCCUGAUAUUGCUCAAGCAUUCUUGUUCCCUAAAAACUCUAACGAGAGAAAAGCUUUACUUGAGAAGCUGCGGGACAAAGGCAAUUACCAACAUAAUCAAGAGGCAAUGCAGAAUCAGAGUGGACCACUGAAAUUAAAACGAAGACCAGGAAGAUCGAACAUCUCACUUAAUGCCAAAAAGUAUGUGCACUGCGUGUAUUGUAAAGGCACGUUUGCUCGCAAAGAGCUUUGGCGCCAUACACGUAGAUGUCCUUCAAAGGAAGCCUCAAACACUGACGCAACUGGUAGGGCCAAAGUCUUAGUUCUGGCUGAUGUUGCAGAGUCAACAUUCUCCAAAGCUAUUUCUCCUGGGUUGUGGAAGAUCCUUGGAAAUAUGAAGCAAGAUGAGGUAUCAUCGGCAUCUCGAAAUGAUUUCCUCAUACUGCAACUUGGUCAGUCUCUCUACAACAAACAUGGAAGUGAUCCAACAAAAUUUGAAUACAUGAGACAGAAGGUUCGGGAAAUGGGCAGGCUAUUGUUGAGCUUGAGAAAAAGUUCUAUAUUUAGCUUUGAAGAUGCUGUAAAACCGACAAACUUUUACCGAGUUAUUGAGGCUGUGAAAGACGUCGCGGGUUAUGAUGAAGAGAAGCACUGCUAUCGCACACCAAGUCUUGCUCUAAAAUUAGGACACUCUCUGAAGAAGAUUGGUGACAUUAUUCUCUGCAGAGCCAUUUCAGCAGAAGAUGAAGUGACGAUAAAAGCACCAGAGCGAUUCACAAGGCUGUGCACAAAAGAAUGGACCGAACUUGUCUCCCACACUGCUCUUGCUACUUUGAGCAAGUCAAAGUUCAACAAAACUUUGACCAUACCAUUCACAAAGGAUGUGCAGCUUUUGCACCAGUAUCUGGAGAAGAAAUCAGUUGAUGCUGUUGAGAACCUUAAGAAGCACGAGUCGCCACAGAUGUAUGCAGAACUUGCCAGGGUGACACUCACGCAAAUAAUUAUCUUCAACAGACGCCAUGCAGGAGAAGUUUCAAAAAUGACACUUGAGUCUUUCAUGAAAAGAGACCAGACUGAGCUCCAUGAGGACAUAGCUAAUGGUCUCUCACUGUUUGAGCAAAAGCUAGCAAAGCACUUCAGCAGGGUUGAAAUUAUGGGCAAAAGGGGAAGAAAAGUUGCUGUUUUAUUAAACCCUGACGUUGUCAGUGCAACAGCCCUUCUUGCAGACAAAAGAGACGCAUGUAAUGUCCACAAAGACAACCCUUUCUUAUUUGGAAAGCCACAGUGCCCCCCCACUAGUUUCUACAGGGGACAGGACUGCAUCAGGAUCUUUGCAGGUCAAUGUGGUGCCAAGAAUUCUGAAUAUCUUCGGUCUACACAUUUUCGCAAGCACGUUGCAACACUAUCCCAGAUUCUGAACCUCAAGAACAAUGAGCUGGACCAACUAGCAAACUUUUUGGGCCAUGACAUACGGGUCCACAGAGACUUUAUCGACUUCCAGAGGCAACCAUCGAAAUUGCAAAAAUCUCCAAGCUUCUAUUGGCCAUGGAGAAAGGAUCUCUGGCAAAAUUCCAAGGAAAAUCUCUUGAAGAGAUUGACAUUGAAGGUAUGUGCCUAA